rnacentral:ncRNA from 2 species
UUAGAUAGAGAGGCUCAAGGCGCCGGUUCCCAAAGGAUCCGGACAGUUUGGGAAGCCGGUCGAAACCCGGCGCUGCGCCCGCAACGGUGGUGGAGCAUGAGCCGGCAGAUCCGUCUUGAGGGUGCACCCCUCGGGAGAUCGGCACGGCCAAGGCCCCUGAGCCCGGACACCUGUCUUGGUGCCAGUAUGACU